rnacentral:rRNA from 1 species
GUCUCUUCGGGGAUGAUUAAACCGGCGCACGGGUGAGUAACACGUGAGUGACCUGCCUUUUAGACUGGAACAACUUACCGAAAGGUGAGCUAAUGCCGGAUGAGUUAUAUAAGUGCAUGUUUAUAUAGGAAAAGUUGGGGAGACCUGACGCUGAAAGAUGGACUCGCGUCCCAUUAGCUAGUUGGUAGGGUAAUGGCCUACCAAGGCGACGAUGGGUAGCCGGCCUGAGAGGGUGGCCGGCCACACUGGGACUGAGACACGGCCCAGACUCCUACGGGAGGCAGCAGUGGGGAAUUUUGCGCGAUGCUCGUAAGAGUGACGCAGCGACGCCGCGUGAAUGACGAAGGCCUUCGGGUCGUAAAGUUCUUUCGACAGGGAAGAAAAUGCCUAUAAGUAACUGUGUAUGUAUUGACGGUACCUGUAUAAGCAGCCCCGGCUAACUCCGUGCCAGCAGCCGCGGUAAUACGGAGGGGGCGAGCGUUGUUCGGAGUGACUGGGCGUAAAGAGCACGUAGGCGGUGUUGUAAGUCAUUAGUCAAAGACUAGAGCUCAACUUUAGUAAGGCUAGUGAUACUAUAAUACUAGAGUAUCAGAGAGGAUUGCAGAAUUCCUGGUGUAGCGGUGAAAUGCGUAGAUAUCAGGAGGAAUACCGUUAGCGAAGGCGGCAAUCUGGCUGGAAACUGACGCUGAGGUGCGAAAGCGUGGGUAGCAAACAGGAUUAGAUACCCUGGUAGUCCACGCUGUAAACGAUGGAUGCUAGGUGUUGGGCUUUUAAGUUCAGUGCCGCAGCAAACGCGAUAAGCAUCCCGCC